AGAGUUUGAUUAUGGCUCAGGAUGAACGCUGGCGGCACGCUUAACACAUGCAAGUCGAGCGGAGUUUUGUGCGGAAGAUUUCGGUUGGAAGUAUAAAACUUAGCGGCGGACGGGUGAGGAACGCGUGGGUAACCUGCCCUGUACAGGGGGAUAACACAGAGAAAUCUGUGCUAAAACCGCAUAAGCUCACGGGACCGCAUGGUCUUGGGAGAAAAACUCCGGUGGUACAGGAUGGGCCCGCGUCUGAUUAGCUAGUUGGAGAGGUAAGAGCUCACCAAGGCGACGAUCAGUAGCCGGUCUGAGAGGAUGGACGGCCACAUUGGGACUGAGACACGGCCCAA
rnacentral:rRNA from 1 species